rnacentral:rRNA from 1 species
GACGGAGGAUGCAAGCGUUAUCCGGAAUUAUUGGGCGUAAAGCGUCCGCAGGUGGACAUACAAGUCUGCUGUCAAAGUGCAGAGCUUAACUCUGUAAAGGCGGUGGAAACUGUAGGUCUUGAGUAUGGUAGGGGUAGAGGGAAUUCCCGGUGUAGCGGUGAAAUGCGUAGAUAUCAGGAAGAACACCAAUGGCGAAAGCAGCUUUCUGGGACGGUACUGACGCUGAGACGCGAAAGCGUGGGGAGCGAACAGG